AAUGGGUCAGCGACUUAUAUUCUGUAGCAAGGUUAACCGAAUAGGGGAGCCGAAGGGAAACCGAGUCUUAACUGGGCGUUAAGUUGCAGGGUAUAGACCCGAAACCCGGUGAUCUAGCCAUGGGCAGGUUGAAGGUUGGGUAACACUAACUGGAGGACCGAACCGACUAAUGUUGAAAAAUUAGCGGAUGACUUGUGGCUGGGGGUGAAAGGCCAAUCAAACCGGGAGAUAGCUGGUUCUCCCCGAAAGCUAUUUAGGUAGCGCCUCGUGAAUUCAUCUCCGGGGGUAGAGCACUGUUUCGGCAAGGGGGUCAUCCCGACUUACCAACCCGAUGCAAACUGCGAAUACCGGAGAAUGUUAUCACGGGAGACACACGGCGGGUGCUAACGUCCGUCGUGAAGAGGGAAACAACCCAGACCGCCAGCUAAGGUCCCAAAGUCAUGGUUAAGUGGGAAACGAUGUGGGAAGGCCCAGACAGCCAGGAUGUUGGCUUAGAAGCAGCCAUCAUUUAAAGAAAGCGUAAUAGCUCACUGGUCGAGUCGGCCUGCGCGGAAG
rnacentral:rRNA from 1 species